rnacentral:rRNA from 1 species
UACGUAGGGGGCUAGCGUUGCUCGGAAUCACUGGGCGUAAAGGGUGCGUAGGCGGGUUUUUAAGUCAGGGGUGAAAUCCUGGAGCUCAACUCCAGAACUGCCUUUGAUACUGAAGAUCUUGAGUCCGGGAGAGGUGAGUGGAACUGCGAGUGUAGAGGUGAAAUUCGUAGAUAUUCGGAAGAACACCAGUGGCGAAGGCGGCUCACUGGCCCGGUACUGACGCUGAGGUGCGAAAGCGUGGGGAGCAAACAGG